AUUGAACGCUGGCGGCAGGCCUAACACAUGCAAGUCGAGCGAGAGGAGGACGGGUGAGUAAUGUAUGGGGAACUGCCCGAUAGAGGGGGAUAACUACUGGAAAAGGUGGCUAAUACCGCAUACUAUCAGAUGAGCCCAGAUGGGAUGAGCUAGUAGGUGGGGUAAAGGCUCACCAAGGCGACGAUCCCUAGCUGUUCUGAGAGGAUGACCAGCCACACUGGGACUGAGACACGGCCCAGACUCCUACGGGAGGCAGCAGUGGGGAAUAUUGUGCAAUGGGCGCAAGCCUGAUGCAGCCAUGCCGCGUGUAUGAAGAAGGCCUUCGGGUUGUAAAGUACUGUCAGCAGGGAGGCGUUACCCGCAGAGGAAGCCCCGGCUAACUCCGUGCCAGCAGCCGCGGUAAUAC
rnacentral:rRNA from 1 species